UACGUAGGGGGCGAGCGUUGUCCGGAUUUAUUGGGCGUAAAGGGCCCGCAGGCGGUUCGCCAAGUUUGGGGUGACAGCUCCUGGCUUAACCAGGAGAGUGCUGCAAAAACUGGUGGACUUGAGAGCGAGAGAGGGACAUGGAACUCCGGGUGGAGCAGUGAAAUGCGUAGAGAUCCGGAAGAACACCGAAGGCGAAGGCAGUGUCCUGGCUCGUUUCUGACGCUCAGGGGCGAAAGCUAGGGGAGCGAACGGG
rnacentral:rRNA from 1 species